AUUGAACGCUGGCGGAAUGCUUUACACAUGCAAGUCGAACGGUAGAGGGGGGCAACCCCCUUGAGAGUGGCGAACGGGUGAGUAAUGUAUCGGAACGUGCCCAGUCGUGGGGGAUAACGUAGUGAAAAUUACGCUAAUACCGCAUACGAUCUAUGGAUGAAANCGGGGGAUCGCAAGACCUCGCGCGAUUGGAGCGGCCGAUAUCAGAUUAGGUAGUUGGUGGGGUAAAGGCUCACCAAGCCAACGAUCUGUAGCUGGUCUGAGAGGACGACCAGCCACACUGGAACUGAGACACGGUCCAGACUCCUACGGGAGGCAGCAGUGGGGAAUUUUGGACAAUGGACGCAAGUCUGAUCCAGCCAUUCCGCGUGCAGGACGAAGGCCUUCGGGUUGUAAACUGCUUUUGUACGGAACGAAAAAGCUCUUAUUAAUACUAGGAGUCCAUGACGGUACCGUAAGAAUAAGCACCGGCUAACUACGUGCCAGCAGCCGC
rnacentral:rRNA from 1 species